rnacentral:piRNA from 1 species
GAAGUCCUGGAAAGAGUUGCUGAUGAGACC